rnacentral:rRNA from 1 species
UACGGAGGGUGCGAGCGUUGUCCGGAAUCAUUGGGCGUAAAGCGCGCGUAGGCGGCCCGGUAAGUCCGCUGUAAAAGUCCAGGGCUCAACCCUGGAAAGCCGGUGGAUACUGUCGGGCUAGAGUCCGGAAGAGGCGAGUGGAAUUCCUGGUGUAGCGGUGGAAUGCGCAGAUAUCAGGAGGAACACCGAUGGCGAAGGCAGCUCGCUGGGACGGUACUGACGCUAAGGCGCGAAAGCGUGGGGAGCGAACAGG